rnacentral:rRNA from 1 species
CCUACGGGAGGCAGCAGUGGGGAAUAUUGCACAAUGGGGGAAACCCUGAUGCAGCGACGCCGCGUGAGUGAAGAAGUAUUUCGGUACGUAAAGCUCUAUCAGCAGGGAAGAAAAUGACGGUACCUGACUAAGAAGCCCCGGCUAACUACGUGCCAGCAGCCGCGGUAAUACGUAGGGGGCAAGCGUUAUCCGGAUUUACUGGGUGUAAAGGGAGCGUAGACGGCAGCGCAAGUCUGGAGUGAAAUCCCAUGGCUUAACCAUGGAACUGCUUUGGAAACUGUGCAGCUAGAGUGCAGGAGAGGUAGGCGGAAUUCCUAGUGUAGCGGUGAAAUGCGUAGAUAUUAGGAGGAACACCAGUGGCGAAGGCGGCUUACUGGACUGUAACUGACGUUGAGGCUUGAAAGCGUGGGGAGCAAACAGGAUUAGAUACCCCGGUAGUC